UCAAGAUCAAGGAGCGAAGUCCCAACUUCAGGUCUAUAUCCUUCUAGUUCGAGUCUCUCCACUAUCUGAUGCCACAUUUGAUGAAUCUCCUUAAGUUGCGGGUGUUUACAGUCGCCAGCAAAAAAGUCGUGAACGGACCCGUUUAUGGUAAUGCUGCUGCACCCUGGAAAUUUUUUAAUUCGUUUUUCUUUCAUCAUUCUUCUUAUUCUCACUGCUUCAUCCCAUUCUCCUGAUGCUGCAAAAAUACUCGCUGCAUGAAUAUAUCGGCCACCAUGUCCGGGGUCUACUUCCAUCAGUUUCUUCCCAAUUACUUUGCCUAACUUGACAUUUGCGUGCUUUUUGCAGACAUUGAGGAGUGCUCCCCAAAUGGCAGCAUUUGGCUCGAUAGGCAUUGUCUCAAUCACCUCUUUGGCUUCCUUCAGUAACCCUGCUCGGCCAAGAAGGUCAACCAAGCAACCAUAAUGCUCAAUUGUUGGGUUCAAGUUGUGAACUGACGUUAUGCUCUUGAAGAUUGAUUUUCCUUCAUCAACUAGUCCUGAGUGGCUACAUGCAGUCAAAAUUGCAGUGAGAGUGAUCGAAUUUGGCUUGAUCCUUUCUUUCUGCAUUUGCAUAUAGAAAUCCAGUGCUUCUCUUGCCUGUCCAUGAAUUGCAAAACCAGAAAUUGCUGCUGUCCAUGUGGAGACACAUUUCUUCUUUGAUUUAGUGAAAACUCGUAUAGCUUCUUCCAUGUGACCGCACUUGCCGUACAUGUCGAUCAGUGCACAAUCUAGUUCUGGGUCUAUUUGUAUAUGGUUUCUGUCGAUAUAUGUGUGAAUCCAUCUGCCCUGAUCCACUGCUCCAAGAUGUGCACAUGCUGAAAGUGAACUUACCAGAGCUACAUUGUCUGGUUUAACACCUGCAAUCAGCAUAUCCUGAAACAGGUUUAAGGCCUCCUUGUUCAUUCCCACUUUCACGAAGCUAGAUAUCAUCGUCGUCCACGAGAUUACAUUUCUCUCCGGCAUUUCUUUGAACAGUUUGAAAGCUACCUCUACUUCACCACACUUAGCAUAUCCAUCGAUCAUUGUAUUCCAUGACACUUUGUCUCGUCUAGGAGCCUGGUCAAAGAGGAGGCGUGCAAUUUCCAUUCUGCCAAACACAGCAUAUGCA
rnacentral:lncRNA from 1 species